UACGAAGGGGGCGAGCGUUGUUCGGAAUUACUGGGCGUAAAGGGCGCGCAGGCGGCUCUGAAAGUCAGAUGUGAAAGCCCCGGGCUUAACCUGGGAAUUGCAUUUGAUACUCUGGAGCUUGAGUACGGGAGAGGAGAGUGGAAUUCCCAGUGUAGAGGUGAAAUUCGUAGAUAUUGGGAAGAACACCGGGUGGCGAAGGCGGCUCUCUGGACCGUAACUGACGCUGAGGCGCGAAAGCGUGGGGAGC
rnacentral:rRNA from 1 species